UCAUAGAGGCAUAUGUGAUUAUCAUUUGACUCAUGAUGAGGUAAAAAGAGAUAUUGUACCACCUCAAAGUUACAAUUAUAUUGGUUUGGAUGUUACGCUUUGAAUGUAGCUGAAGGAUUGUGAAACUCAGAAGCAUGGACUUUCAAGGAGACAUUCAAAAGAAGGUGGAGUCAGAUAUGGUUGAAGAACCAUGCUUAUGCCCUACUUAGAUUACCUAAG
rnacentral:lncRNA from 1 species